AUUGAACGCUGGCGGCAUGCCUUACACAUGCAAGUCGAACGGCAGCACGGGAGCAAUCCUGGUGGCGAGUGGCGAACGGGUGAGUAAUAUAUCGGAGCGUGCCCGGUCGUGGGGAUAACGUAGCGAAAGCUACGCUAAUACCGCAUACGAUCUACGGAUGAAAGCGGGGGAUCGCAAGACCUCGCGCGAUUGGAGCGGCCGAUAUCAGAUUAGGUAGUUGGUGAGGUAAAGGCUCACCAAGCCGACGAUCUGUAGCUGGUCUGAGAGGACGACCAGCCACACUGGGACUGAGACACGGCCCAGACUCCUACGGGAGGCAGCAGUGGGGAAUUUUGGACAAUGGGCGCAAGCCUGAUCCAGCAAUGCCGCGUGCAGGAUGAAGGCC
rnacentral:rRNA from 1 species